GCCAGGCACGGUGAUGUAUGCCUGUAAUCCUAGCACCUUGGGAGGCCGAGGCGGGAGAAUCACUUGAGCCCAGGCGCUCCAGGCUGCAGUGAGCUAUGAUCACACCACUGCACUCCAGCCUGGGUAACAGAGUGAGACCCUGACUCUA
rnacentral:SRP_RNA from 1 species